rnacentral:rRNA from 1 species
UAGGGAAUAUUGGUCAAUGGAUGGAGGUCUGAACCAGCCAUGCCGCGUGCAGGAAGAAGGCCUUCUGGGUUGUAAACUGCUUUUGCCAGGGGAUAAAAAGUCCCUGCGGGGAAAAUUGAAGGUACCUGGUGAAUAAGCAACGGCUAACUACGUGCCAGCAGCCGCGGUAAUACGUAGGUGGCGAGCGUUGUCCGGAUUUAUUGGGUUUAAAGGGUGCGUAGGCGGCUUUGUAAGUCAGUGGUGAAAUACUCCAGCUUAACUGGAGGGGUGCCAUUGAUACUGCGGAGCUUGAGUACAGAUGAGGUAGGCGGAAUUGACGGUGUAGCGGUGAAAUGCAUAGAUAUCGUCAAGAACACCGAUAGCGAAGGCAGCUUACUGGGCUGUAACUGACGCUGAUGCACGAAAGUGUGGGGAUCAAAC